CAGCCGCCACGGGAAUACGCAGGUGGCAAGCGUUGUCCGGAAUUAUUGGGCGUAAAGGGCUCGCAGGCGGUUUCUUAAGUCUAAUGUGAAAGCCCCCGGCUCAACCGGGGAGGGUCAUUGGAAACUGGGAAACUUGAGUGCAGAAGAGGAGAGUGGAAUUCCACGUGUAGCGGUGAAAUGCGUAGAGAUGUGGAGGAACACCAGUGGCGAAGGCGACUCUCUGGUCUGUAACUGACGCUGAGGAGCGAAAGCGUGGGGAGCGAACAGGAUUAGAUACCCCAGUAGUCCCUGUCUCUUAUAC
rnacentral:rRNA from 1 species